rnacentral:rRNA from 1 species
AGUGAACGCUGGCGGUAGGCCUAACACAUGCAAGUCGAACGGCAGCACAGUAAGAGCUUGCUCUUACGGGUGGCGAGUGGCGGACGGGUGAGGAAUACAUCGGAAUCUACUUUUUCGUGGGGGAUAACGUAGGGAAACUUACGCUAAUACCGCAUACGACCUACGGGUGAAAGCAGGGGAUCUUCGGACCUUGCGCGAUUGAAUGAGCCGAUGUCGGAUUAGCUAGUUGGCGGGGUAAAGGCCCACCAAGGCGACGAUCCGUAGCUGGUCUGAGAGGAUGAUCGGCCACACUGGAACUGGGACACGGUCCAGACUCCUACGAGAGGCAGCAGUGGGGAAUAUUGGACAAUGGGCGCGAGCCUGAUCCAGCCAUACCGCGUGGGUGAAGAAAGCCUUCGGGUUGUAAAGCCCUUUUGUUGGGAAAGAAAAGCAGCAGGUUAAUACCCCGCUGUUCUGACGGUACCCAAAGAAUAAGCACCGGCUAACUUCGUG